UAGCGUAUAUUAAAGUUGUUGCGGUUAAAAAGCUCGUAGUUGGAUUUCUGUUGAGAGCAGCCGGUCCGCCUCUUGGGCGUGUAUCUGGAUUGCGCUCGGCAUCCUCUCGAAAAACGUCGCUGCGCUUAGCUGCGUGGUGCGGAAUUCGGGACUUUUACUUUGAGGAAAUUAGAGUGUUCACGGCAGGCUACCGCCUUGAAUAUAUUAGCAUGGAAUAAUACUAUAGGAUCUUGGUCCUAUUUUGUUGGUUUCUAGGGCUAAGAUAAUGAUUAAUAGGGACAAUUGGGGGCAUUCGUAUUAAUGCGUC
rnacentral:rRNA from 1 species